GACGAACGCUGGCGGCGUGCUUAACACGUGCAAGUCGAACGGAAAGGCCCUGCUUUUGUGGGGUGCUCGAGUGGCGAACGGGUGAGUAACACGUGAGUAACCUGCCCUUGACUUUGUGAUAACUUCAGGAAACUGGGGCUAAUACCGGAUAGGAGCUCCUGCUGCAUGGUGGGGGUUGGAAAGUUUCGGCGGUUGGGGAUGGACUCGCGGCUUAUCAGCUUGUUGGUGGGGUAGUGGCUUACCAAGGCUUUGACGGGUAGCCGGCCUGAGAGGGUGACCGGCCACAUUGGGACUGAGAUACGGCCCAGACUCCUACGGGAGGCAGCAGUGGGGAAUAUUGCACAAUGGGCGGAAGCCUGAUGCAGCAACGCCGCGUGCGUGAUGACGGCCUUCGGGUUGUAAACCGCUUUCGCCUGUGACGAAGCGUGAGUGACGGUAAUGGGUAAAGAAGCACCGGCUAACUACGUG
rnacentral:rRNA from 1 species